rnacentral:lncRNA from 1 species
CAGGACCCAAUCUGUGGGUCCUUUUGGGGUCCUUGGGGCUCACGUCUGACCCCAUAGCACCCCCAGGAUCCAAUCUGUGGGUCCUUUUGGGGUCCUUGGGGCUCCCAGAUGACCUCGUAGGACCACCAGGGUCCAAUCUGUGGGUCCUUUUGAUGACCCUCUGUAUCCUUUUGGAGUCCUUGGGGCUCCCAGAUGACCUCGUAGGACCACCAGGAUCCAAUCUGUGGGUCCUUUUGGGGUCCUUGUGGCUCACAUCUGACCCCAUAGGACCACCAGGAUCCAAUCAGUGGGUCCUUUUGGGAUCCUUGGGGCUCACAUCUGACCCCAUAGCACCCACUGAUUGGGUCCUGGUGGUGCUUUUGGGUUCCUUGUGGCUCACAUCUGACCCCAUAGCACCACCCGGACCCAAUCAGUGGGUCCUUUUGGGUUCCUUGUGGCUCACAUCCGACCCCAUAGCACCACCAGGACCCAAUCAGUGGGUCCUUUUGGGUUCCUCGUGGCUCACAUCUGACCCCAUAGCACCACCAGGAUCCAAUCUGUGGGUCCUUUUGAUGAUCCUCUGUGUCCUUUUGGGUUCCUUGUGGCUCACGUCUGACCCCAUAGCACCACCAGGACCCGAUCUGUGGGUCCUUUUGGGUUCCUCGUGGCUCACAUCUGACCCCAUAGCACCACCAGGACCCGAUCUGUGGUUCCUUUUGGGUUCCUCGUGGCUCACAUCCGACCCCAUAGGACCCCUCUCCCCCCCCCUAAAACCCUUCCCCCCCCUUCUCCCCCCCAGCCUCCAUCACCCUAUCGGACGCCGCCGCAGCCCAGCUCGCCCUGCAACGCCUGCAGCGCUGCACCCUGCGCCGCCACCGCCUGCGUGCCGAAGUGCAGCCGUGCAGCUCCCUGCUCUGCGUCGCCCACCUGCCCCGGCAUUGCGGCCAACAGCCGUGGGAAGCUUUGGUGCGGCCGUACGGCGCCGUGGGGAGGUGUUGGUUGGUUCACAGCCGGCUUUCGGGACGCUGUAAAGGUUACGGGUUCGUGGAAUAUUUGCACGAGGAGGCGGCGGCCGCGGCUCACGCGGAGCUGCAGGGCCGGGCGUUGGGGGCACAAGUUUUGUUCGUGCGUUGGUGCGAAGCCGCCGGAAGGGAGGUGAUGGAGGAGGAGGAUUUGCACGGCGGGUGUUUGUGCGUGGAAGGGCUGCCCAGGGGAUACGCGGAUGGAGAGGGGAUCCGGAGGGUCUUCUCGGGGGUGUGCGGCCCUAAAUUCUGUCA